rnacentral:tRNA from 1 species
UCCCUGGUGGCUCAGAUGGUAAAGAAUCUGCUUGCAAUGCAGAAGAUCUUGGUUCGAUCCUUGGCUUGGGAA